GCAAACUUGGUCAUUUAGAGGAAGUAAAAGUCGUAACAAGGUUUCCGUAGGUGAACCUGCGGAAGGAUCAUUACAAAAUUCUGAAUGUUAUCCAUUCGAAUUUCCACUCUGCGUAUCUACCUCUGUAUGCUUCCGUUGGGCUGUGGGCUGUUCUUGAACUGCCCCCUUCUAUCUGGGCAAAAGUUUGGAUUGGAAGUGUCCUGGCGGGAGCCAUUAAUUUUAAACUCCUUUGAAUUUGUUUACAUGUCUGAUAAUGAUUUUAAAAUAAUCUUUUAAAACUUUCAACAAUGGAUCUCUUGGUUCUCGCAUCGAUGAAGAACGCAGC
rnacentral:misc_RNA from 1 species